rnacentral:tRNA from 1 species
GUCAGCAUAGAAUAGUAGUUUGAGCACUGGACUAUGACUCUGGAGACCAGGGUUCAAAUCCCUGCUUGGCCA